ACGACAGACGGAAACGACUGCUAAUACCGAAUACGAUUCUUGAGUCGCAUGACACAAGAAAAAGAAAGGGUAGGCCUCUACUUGUAAGCUAUCGCCUGAAGAGGGGUUUGCGUCCGAUUAGGUAGUUGGUGAGGUAACGGCCCACCAAGCCGACGAUCGGUAGCCGGUCUGAGAGGAUGAACGGCCACAUUGGAACUGAGACACGGUCCAGACUCCUACGGGAGGCAGCAGUGGGGAAUCUUCCGCAAUGGGCGAAAGCCUGACGGAGCAACGCCGCGUGAGUGAAGACGGCCUUCGGGUUGUAAAACUCUGUGAUUCGGGACGAAAGAUAAGUAGACGAAUAAUCUGCAUAAGUGACGGUACCGAAAAAGCAAGCCACGGGCUAACUACGUGCCAGCAGCCGCGGUAAAU
rnacentral:rRNA from 1 species